UAUUAAAAUUUAUUUAUUUUUACUAUUGAAAACUGACAUAACUGAAAAAAUAACCAAAUAGUGACUUGUAAUGUGUCACGUGUAUCUCAUGUUAAAAUACAGAGACUAAUUUUAAAUUGUAAAAAUGGAUAAAACUUUUAACA
rfam:Gossypium hirsutum cultivar TM-1 unplaced genomic scaffold scaffold72.1, whole genome shotgun sequence